GGCCUAUGAUUUUCACAAAUUUGUCCGUACCAUCUGAAUCUUCUGAUGUAUUCAUCUUACAAAUCUCUCUGAGGCCU